AUUGAACGCUGGCGGCAGGCUUAACACAUGCAAGUCGAGCGAGCGGCGGACGGGUGAGUAAUGUCUGGGACACUGCCUGAUGGAGGGGGUUAACUUCUGAAAACGGUAGCUAAUACCGCCUACUAUCAGAGGUGCCCAGAUGGGAUUAGCUGGUAGGUGGGGUAAUGGUUCACCUAGGCGACGUUCCCGAGCUGGUCUGCGAGGUUGACCAGCUACACGGGAACUGUGCGACGGUCCAGCGUCCUACGGGCGUAAGCGGUGGGGAAUAGUGCACAAUGGGCGAAAGCCUGAUGCAGCCAUGCAGCGUGUGUGAAGAAGGCCUUCGGGUUGUAAAGCACUUUCAGCGAGGAGGCGUUACUCGCAGAAGAAGCACCGGCUAACUCCGUGCCAGCAGCCGCGGUAAUAC
rnacentral:rRNA from 1 species